rnacentral:lncRNA from 1 species
CGCCGGUUUUUUUUUUGGAAUUUUGUCCCUUUUUUGCACUCUGAUCCCGCCACAGCAUCCCACGAAGGGGACACGGGCAGCUCCUGUCCCAGGGUGGGGUGGGACACGGCAGGGGUGGGGAUUGUCCUGCCUUGGACAGGGGGAGAUCCCAAACUCGAUCCCAAAUCCGGGUCUGAAUUCCCUGGGAGGAGCUGCCUUACAGGGGGAUCAGACCCUUGUUCCAUGGGGAAAUCCCAUGGGGAUUGGAUCCUUUUUCCAUGAGGAAAUCCCAAUCCCAAAUCUGGAUCUGAACCCACUGAAAGGAGCUUCCCUACAGGGGGGAUCAGACCCUUGUUCCAUGGGGAAAUCCUAUGGGAAUCAGAUCCUUUUUCCAUUGGGAAAUCCCAAUCCCAAAUCCAGGUCUGAACCCCUUGGGAGGAGCUUCUUUCCAUGGGGGGAUCAGACCAUUUCUCCAUGGGGAAAUCCCAAUCCCAAAUCCAGGCCUGAACCCACUGAAAGGAGCAUCCUUCCAGAAGGAUACCCUUUUUCCAUGGGGAAAUCCCAAUCCCAAAUCUGGAUCUGAACCCNAUAAGGGGAAAAUGAAUGGGAAAAUAGGGGGGAAAUGAAUGGGAAAAUGGAUGGAAAAAUAGAUGGAAAAAUAAGGGGAAAAUGAAUGGGAAAAUGAAUGGAAAAGUGAAUGGAAAAAUGAAUGGAAAAAUAAGGGAGAAAUAAAUGGAAAAACAGGGGGGAAAUGGAUGGAAAA